rnacentral:rRNA from 1 species
GAAACUGCGAAUGGCUCAUUAAAUCAGUUAUCGUUUAUUUGAUAGUACCUUACUACUUGGAUAACCGUGGUAAUUCUAGAGCUAAUACAUGCUAAAAACCUCGACUUCGGAAGGGGUGUAUUUAUUAGAUAAAAAACCAAUGCCCUUCGGGGCUCCUUGGUGAUUCAUGAUAACUUAACGAAUCGCAUGGCCUUGCGCCGGCGAUGGUUCAUUCAAAUUUCUGCCCUAUCAACUUUCGAUGGUAGGAUAGUGGCCUACCAUGGUAUCAACGGGUAACGGGGAAUUAGGGUUCUAUUCCGGAGAGGGAGCCUGAGAAACGGCUACCACAUCCAAGGAAGGCAGCAGGCGCGCAAAUUACCCAAUCCCGACACGGGGAGGUAGUGACAAUAAAUACUGAUACAGGGCUCUUUUGGGUCUUGUAAUUGGAAUGAGUACAAUUUAAAUACCUUAACGAGGAACAAUUGGAGGGCAAGUCUGGUGCCAGCAGCCGCGGUAAUUCCAGCUCCAAUAGCGUAUAUUAAAGUUGUUGCAGUUAAAAAGCUCGUAGUUGAACCUUGGGCCUGGCUGGCCGGUCCGCCUCACCGCGUGUACUGGUCCGGCCGGGCCUUUCCUUCUGGGGAUCCGCAUGCCCUUCACUGGGUGUGUCGGGGAACCAGGACUUUUACUUUGAAAAAAUUAGAGUGUUCAAAGCAGGCCUUUGCUCGAAUACAUUAGCAUGGAAUAAUAGAAUAGGACGUGCGGUCCUAUUUUGUUGGUUUCUAGGACCGCCGUAAUGAUUAAUAGGGAUAGUCGGGGGCAUCAGUAUUCAAUUGUCAGAGGUGAAAUUCUUGGAUUUAUUGAAGACUAACUACUGCGAAAGCAUUUGCCAAGGAUGUUUUCAUUAAUCAGUGAACGAAAGUUAGGGGAUCGAAGACGAUCAGAUACCGUCGUAGUCUUAACCGUAAACUAUGCCGACUAGGGAUCGGGCGAUGUUUUUCUUUUGACUCGCUCGGCACCUUACGAGAAAUC